CAUGCAAGUCGAACGAUGAUGCCCAGCUUGCUGGGUGGAUUAGUGGCGAACGGGUGAGUAACACGUGAGCAACCUGCCCCUGACUCUGGGAUAAGCGCUGGAAACGGCGUCUAAUACUGGAUAUGUCCCAUCACCGCAUGGUGUGUGGGUGGAAAGAUUUUUCGGUUGGGGAUGGGCUCGCGGCCUAUCAGCUUGUUGGUGAGGUAAUGGCUCACCAAGGCGUCGACGGGUAGCCGGCCUGAGAGGGUGACCGGCCACACUGGGACUGAGACACGGCCCAGACUCCUACGGGAGGCAGCAGUGGGGAAUAUUGCACAAUGGGCGCAAGCCUGAUGCAGCAACGCCGCGUGAGGGAUGACGGCCUUCGGGUUGUAAACCUCUUUUAGCAGGGAAGAAGCGAGAGUGACGGUACCUGCAGAAAAAGCACCGGCUAACUACGUGCCAGCAGCCGCGGUAAUACGUAGGGUGCAAGCGUUAUCCGGAAUUAUUGGGCGUAAAGAGCUCGUAGGCGGUUUGUCGCGUCUGCUGUGAAAUUCCGAGGCUCAACCUCGGGCUUGCAGUGGGUACGGGCAGACUAGAGUGCGGUAGGGGAGAUUGGAAUUCCUGGUGUAGCGGUGGAAUGCGCAGAUAUCAGGAGGAACACCGAUGGCGAAGGCAGAUCUCUGGGCCGUAACUGACGCUGAGGAGCGAAAGGGUGGGGAGCAAACAGGCUUAGAUACCCUGGUAGUCCACCCCGUAAACGUUGGGAACUAGUUGUGGGGUCCUUUCCACGGAUUCCGUGACGCAGCUAACGCAUUAAGUUCCCCGCCUGGGGAGUACGGCCGCAAGGCUAAAACUCAAAGGAAUUGACGGGGACCCCCCACAAGCGGCGGA
rnacentral:rRNA from 1 species